GGCAUGUUGGUGCAGUUGGUAGCACUUUUGUCUCACAGCUAAAAGGUUGUGGAUUCAGAUCCGGCCUGGGGCC